rnacentral:rRNA from 1 species
AGCGAACGCUGGCGGCAGGCUUAACACAUGCAAGUCGAGCGGGCACUUUCGGGUGUCAGCGGCGGACGGGUGAGUAACGCGUGGGAACGUGCCCUCUGGUUCGGAAUAACUCAGGGAAACUUGAGCUAAUACCGGAUACGCCCUUUUGGGGAAAGGCUUGCUGCCGGAGGAUCGGCCCGCGUCUGAUUAGCUAGUUGGUGAGGUAACGGCUCUCCAAGGCGACGAUCAGUAGCUGGUCUGAGAGGAUGAUCAGCCACACUGGGACUGAGACACGGCCCAGACUCCUACGGGAGGCAGCAGUGGGGAAUAUUGGACAAUGGGCGCAAGCCUGAUCCAGCCAUGCCGCGUGAGUGAUCAAGGCCUUAGGGUUGUAAAGCUCUUUUAUCCGGGACGAUAAUGACGGUACCGGAGGAAUAAGCCCCGGCUAACUUCGUG